GAUGAAGAACGCAGCGAAAUGCGAUACGUAAUGUGAAUUGCAGAAUUCAGUGAAUCAUCGAGUCUUUGAACGCACAUUGCGCCCCCUGGUAUUCCGGGGGGCAUGCCUGCCCGAGCGUCAUUGCUGCCCUCAAGCACGGCUUGUGUGUUGGGCCUCCGUCCUCCUCCCGGGGGACGGGCCCGAAAGGCAGCGGCGGCACCGCGUCCGGUCCUCGAGCGUAUGGGGCUUCGUCACCCGCUCUUGUAGGCCCGGCCGGCGCUUGCCGACACAUCAAUCUUUUUUCCAGGUUGACCUCGGAUCAGGUAGGGAUACCCGCUGAACUUAAGCAUAUCAAUAAGCGGAGGA
rnacentral:misc_RNA from 1 species